rnacentral:rRNA from 1 species
GUAAGCUUAGAUACGCCGUAUGGUGGAUGACUUGGCUUGAGAAACUGAAGAAGGUCGUGGCUAGCUGCGAAAAGCUGGAGGGAGGCGCAUGCAUCCUUUGAUCUCCAGAUUACCUAAUAGGACUUCCUAUAUUCUUCGGAAUAUGAUCACUUCGUGAUCAGGAACUCAGUGAACUGAAACAUCUUAGUAGCUGAAGGAAAAGAAAUCAAUAGAGAUGCCGUUAGUAAUGGCGAACGAACGCGGUAUAGGGCAGGCUGAAUCCGUAAUAGUGAUAUUAUGGAGAUGUGGUGUUGUCGCAGUGCUCAGAAAGUAUGGAUAAAUCUUCUGGAAAGUUGAACCAAAGAGAGUGAUAGUCUCGUAGUUCAAACUUAAUGAGUAUAUUGGCAAUAUAAGAGUAGCGUACAUUGAAAGUUGUGCGUGAAUAUGGGAGUCAGUAACUCCUAACCCUAAACAUUUCUCAAGACCGAUAGCGUAUUAGUAGCGUGAGUGAACGUUGAAAAGAUCCCUUAAUCGGGAGUGAAAAGAUCCUAAAAUCAUACGGUUACAGUUUGUAGCGGCACUAAGGUGUUGCUGCUUUCGUAUUGAAAUAUGAGCUAGCGAGUUUAUUUUUGUGGCGAGGUUAAGUCUUAUGGACGGAGCCACAGGGAAACCGAGUGUGAAAGCGCGUUGAGUCACAGGGAUAUAACCUGAAGCCCGACGAGCUAUGCCUGGGCACGGUGAAGUGGAGGUAAGACUCCGUGGAGGCCGGAAGAGGUGCUGCGAGCACGCGUUCUUAUGACCUGGGUAUAGGGGUGAAAUGCUAAUCGAGUUGGGCAAUAGCUGGUUCCCACAGAAAUAAGCCGUAGUUUAGUCUAAAUGGAGCAGUCUGUUAGUGUAGAGUACAGAUUGUGUAGUUUGGGGGAGCAAUCCCUCGCUGCACUGUCUAACUCCGAAGCUCUCAGAUGCGUAGAAGUUUGGAAAAAGUGGUUCGGGUUAAGCUUGAAUCACGAGAGGGGAACAACCCAGAGAACAGUUAAGGCCCCAAAAUACUGAUUAAGUGUACUUAAGGUUUUUUUAGUGAAAGACAUCGAGGAGGUGGGCUUAGAAGCAGCCAUCCUCUAAGGAUAUCGUAACAGAUCACUUGAUGACGCUUUAGGGACCGCAAAUGGACGGGACUAAAAUCAGUUGCCGAUACUGUUCCCUGCCACGUAAAGUGGUACCGGGGUAUGUGGGCGUUUUGCAUGGGCAGAAGUGUGCUGGUAAUGGUGCAUGGACCGUGUAAUAAUGUGAAUGCUAGCAGUAGUAGUAUCUAAGUGAGGUGAGAAUCCUCAUCGUCGAAAGGGCAAGGGUUCCUUGGCACUGUAUGUCAGCCAAGGGUUAGUCGGUCCUAAGUGUGAAUCCUAACCGAUUUACACGAAAGGGAAACAGGUUAAUAUUCCUGUACUACUUGAACUUUAUGGCUAAAGAUGACGUUUUAGGAUAGAUGGAGCAGACUUGUCUGUCUGUCUAAGUGUUUAAGACUCCGGAGUUGUGUCAUGCAGAGAAGGAGUUGAAUACAUUAUGGGUCGCAAGAUUCUGUUGAGUCCUAGAACCCUUGAAAAGUUCUUUAGUUUCCGUUUAAGUAUCCGUACCCAUAACCGGCACUGGUGCCCUGGCUGAGCAAGCCAAGACGUGUGAGAAUAAUCAUCCUAAGGGAAUUCGGCAAAAUGGUCCUGUAACUUCGGUUGAAGGGAUCCCAGCACUUGCAUUUUUUAAUGUGAACGCUGGGCUAAGAGACUAGAUCGGUCCGACUGUUUAACAAAAACGUAGCUGGCUGCAAGAUAGGAAUGUUUAGUAUAGCCAGUGACUUCUGCCCAGUGCUAGUAUCUGAAAGUGGUUUUCAAUCUGCCUAAGGACUAGUAAACGGCGGGGGUAACUAUGACCCUCUUAAGGUAGCGAAAUACCUUGGCCAUUAAAUGUGGUCGUGCAUGAAUGGAGCAACGAGGCUGAUACUGUCCCUAGGAUGAACCUCAUGAACUUACUAUUCUGGGGAACGGGCCAGAGACUUCUAGUGGGACGAUGAGACCCCGUAGAGCUUUACUAUAGCGUGUAGCUGCUAAUUUGUAGUGUUUGCAUAGAGUAUAUGGGAGGCGUCGAAGCAUUCUUUUCGGGGAAUGUGGAGCCAAAAGUGUAACACCAUACCUUCGCUUUGAAUUAGCUUACCUUAAUUGGAACACCUAUAUGCGGAUAGUUUGAGUGGGGCGCUACCCUCCCGAAAGAAUAUCGGGAGGACCUUAAGAUCAGCUCAGUCCGGUUGGAAACCGGAUGUUGAGGGCAAGACCAAAAGCUGGUUUAAUUGGAAUCUGCAAAGCAAAGAUUCCAGGUACGAAAGUAGAGUCUAGAGAACCUCCAUGUCUCUCUUACUGAGAGCUGGAAUUGAUAGAAAAGCUACCUCGGGGAUAAUUGAGUGGUGCCGUGUUAGAGUACAUAUCGACCACGGCGCUUGCGACUUCGUUGUCGGCUCUGCUUAUCCUGGCUGUGCAACAGCAGCCAAGGGUGCGGGAGUUCACCGAUUAAAAAGCAUCGUGAGCUGGGUUCAGAACGCUGUGAAGCAGUUUGUUUUAUAUCUACUAGAAGUGUUGAGAGUCUGAGGAGAACCUGUUCUUAGUACGAAAGGAACGGAAUGUGCGAGCCACUGGUGUAUCAGUUGUCUGACAAGGCAGGCUGAGCAGCUACGCUCGAAGUGGAUAACUUCUGAAUGCAUCUAAGAAGGAAGCCACCUGUGAAAAGAGACUCUCUGGACACUUGUAAAAGACAAGUUUGAUAGAAUUGGGAUGUAAGUACCAAGGUAACGAGGUAUUCAGUCUGCAAUUACUAAUAGUCCGUAUACUUACUAUU